rnacentral:rRNA from 1 species
UACGAAGGGGGCUAGCGUUGCUCGGAAUCACUGGGCGUAAAGCGCACGUAGGCGGACUUUUAAGUCAGGGGUGAAAUCCUGGAGCUCAACUCCAGAACUGCCUUUGAUACUGGAAGUCUUGAGUCCGGAAGAGGUAAGUGGAACUGCGAGUGUAGAGGUGAAAUUCGUAGAUAUUCGCAAGAACACCGGUGGCGAAGGCGGGUCUCUGGGCCGUAACUGACGCUGAGGAGCGAAAGCGUGGGGAGCGAACAGG